UACAUAAAACUCGCCUUAAUUCAAAUAAGUCUCAUCACAUUUAAAGCAAUUCUAAUGUUAUCAACACCUUCAAAAUGAGCAACGAACUUUCAAACUCGUUUUCCAUACAAUAAACGCUGUCGAAUUUUCUGGAGAGUGGAGAUUUAGCCGACGUGGAAUUUAUCGUAGGUCAGGAAAAAGUGGGAAUUAAAGCGCACACAAUUUUUUUGCUCAUGCGAAGUUAUGUCUCUGGUUCCAUGUUGAGUUCUCGGUGGCUCUGUGACACAGAAAGUGGUGCUAAGAGUAGAACUCCCUUAUUUCGAACCAGCCGUUUUUAAAACGUUUCUAAAGUACUUGUACACGGAUCAAGUCAUCAUUAGUAGGGAACGAGCUGAUUAACCUCUUCAUAAUGGCUGACAUGUACGGGAUAAUCCCACUCCAAGAAAAAAUCUUGACCACUCUCGAGUCUAGUCUUUCCAUGAAUAAUUGCGUCAAUAUUUACGAAUCUACGAAAUUCCUAAAUGAGGAGUUAAGCAGGAAAGCGAUGGAGUUUAUAAAGGGAAGCAUUUCACAAUUGCUGCACCACAACGUAUAUCUGAACACGGGUAAGGAUGGACACUGAAGUUCAGAUACGUGGACAGAAAUUCUCCAAUCGGACGGCAUGGUUGUGGAAGAGGUCAAACUUUUUGUUGCGAUGGUCAAAUUGGCGGAAGGAGAUGAGACACGUUUGCAACAUUUACCAUCCACUCUGCUCCAACUGAUUCGUUAUGCAAUCAUGACGUCAGAAGAAUUUGCCAAGUUUGUCGUGCCUACUGGAUUACUAGAAAAUAUUGCCAUUAUUAAAAUGUUGCUCUUUUAUUUUACAUCGAUUCCAAAGGAUGGAGAUGGUCACACUAUUUCCAACCUAGUUUGUGUCAACCGGGGUCAAUAUCGAGGGAAAGGGUGCAGGUCACUCUGUCCUUGGUGUGGCCUCCAUCCAGAGCACGGAUGGCCAGAGUAGAUGCGAAUUUAGUACUGCCGUCUCCAUGAUGGGAGGAACUGGACACACGCUCCAAGAUAUUUCUGGGGAUUGGUAUUUACGAUUUGGAGAAGGAAGUGAAACCGUCGAUGUGACCUACUUGGCGUCACGCUGGACGGGAGGGGGCAUGACUUUGUCGGACUCAAGGCAAGAAAAUGGGUCAAGGUUAAAGGAGAUGGGCAUUCUUUUGAUGCUUUGUGCCAAGCUGGGAGGUGGGAUGGAAGGAGAGACAACAAUUAA